rnacentral:rRNA from 1 species
AGGGCAAAGACCGUGAGGUGGAGGCAAGCCCCACGAAAUGGCGUCCCAGUUCGGACUGCAGCCUGCAACCCGGCUGCACGAAGCCGGAAUCGCUAGUAAUCGCGGAUCAGAAUGCCGCGGUGAAUACGUUCCCGGGUCUUGUACACACCGCCCGUCACACCAUGGGAGUCGGAUAUGCCCGAAGUCAGUGACCUAACCGAGAGGAGGGAGCUGCCGAAGGCGGGACAGGUAACUGGGGUGAAGUCGUAACAAGGUAAC